rnacentral:rRNA from 1 species
GAUGAACGCUGGCGGCGUGCCUAACACAUGCAAGUCGAGCGAGAAGUAAAGAAAUGAAGCUUCGGUAGAUUUUCAUUAUGGAAAGCGGCGGACGGGUGAGUAACGCGUAGGCAACCUGCCCUGUACAGGGGGAUAGCCACCCGAAAAGGUGAUUAAUACCCCAUGAUGCAAGAGAUACACAUGUAUCACUUGUCAAAGAUUUAUCGGUAUGGGAUGGGCCUGCGUCUGAUUAGCUAGUUGGUAGGGUAACGGCUUACCAAGGCAACGAUCAGUAGCCGACCUGAGAGGGUGAUCGGCCACAUUGGAACUGAGACACGGUCCAAACUCCUACGGGAGGCAGCAGUGGGGAAUAUUGCACAAUGGGGGAAACCCUGAUGCAGCAACGCCGCGUGAAGGAAGAAGGCCUUCGGGUUGUAAACUUCUGUCCUAGGGGAAGAAACAAAUGACAUUACCCUUGGAGG